AUGUGGCUGGUAGAGCUGUGGGGCACGAGCGCUUUGGGUCACGCCGCCGCCUCCUCGCCCUCCGUCUUCCCCCUCACCACCUGCUGUGGGGCGCCGGUCGGCCCCAUCACCCUGGCCUGUUUGGUGAUUGGCUACAACCCGGGCCCCGUCGCCGUCACCUGGGGCGGGGCCGCGGGCGGAGUCACCACCUUCCCGCCCAUCCGUGACGUCAGCAGCGGCCUCUACGCCCUCAGCAGCCAGCUCCACCUGCCCCACGGCGCCCAGCCCCACGCCUACACCUGCAGGGUCACCCAUCCCCCCACCGGCAGUGACGUCACCAAGGAGGUCAAAGUGUGCGAAGCUCCGGCCACUCCCGUCGCUCCAGAAGUCAAGGUCCUCUACGGCGGCUCCUGCUCGGCCAAUCAGGGCCAAGAGUUGGUGGAGCUCCUCUGCCUCGUCACCGGCUUCUACCCGCCCCCCGUGGAAAUCGAGUGGCUGGUGAACGGCCAAUCAGGUCACGUGCUGGGCACCCGGGAGCCCAUGUGGCAGGAGCAAGGGGGCGGAGCCUACUCGACCACCAGCCGGGCCAACGUCACGCAAGAGGAUUGGCUGGAAGGGCUGACCUACACCUGCCAGGUGGAACAUCCGGCCAGCGGCGCCACCAUCCAGGCCCACGCGCGGAGCUGCUGCGACGGCGACCCCCUGCGCUCCUCCCCCAUCCUCCUCUACGUCCUGCCCCCGCGCGUGGGCGACCUCUACAUCAGCCGCCUCCCCAAGCUCCGCUGCCUGGUCACCAACCUCCCCAGCGACUCCGGCGUCCAGCUCCUGUGGAUCCGCGAAAAGCCCGGCUUAGUUAGUCCCGACUUCUUAGACCUCCAAGAGCAGUUUAACGGCACCUACACGGCCACCAGCUCCUUGCCCAUCACCACCGAGGACUGGGAAGCCGGCGAACGCUUCACCUGCGUGGUGAAACACGCCGACCUCGUCGUGCCGCUCAACAAGACCAUCUCCAGGCGCACCGGCAAGGUCUCCACCCCCACCAUCCUCACCUUCCCGCCCCACCCCUCCGAAACCGGCCAAUCCCAGCUCACCCUCACCUGUUACGUCCACGGGUUCCACCCGGAGCACGUCGAGGUCAAGUGGCUGAAGAACAACCAAGACGCCCCCGCGGGCACUUACGUCACGACCCCGCCCCUGAGGGAGGGGCCUAAGGAAACCACCUACUUCCUGUACAGCAAGAUGGCCGUCGCCGCCGCCUCCUGGUUGGCCGGCGACUCCUACAGCUGCGUCGUCGUCCACGAGGGGCUGCCAAUGAAAAUCGCCAAGCAGGAAGUGCGGAAAAGCCCCGGGUUGGACCUAUCGGCCGGGCUCUGCUUGGAGGAGACGGACAAGGAGCUCGACGGCCUCUGGGCCACCAUCAUCGUCUUCAUCACCCUCUUCCUCCUCAGCGUCUGCUACAGCGCCACCGUCACCCUCUUCAAGGUCAAGUGGCUCUUCUCCACCGUCCUCUACCUCAGCCAGAGCCGCGGCCCCGCCCACCGCGACGGCCCCAAGGAGGGGGUUUAG